AUGAAAUUAAAACAAGGGGUAUUAUGAUGAAAAAUAGGGUGUCGAAAGUACAUAGGCACAGGGCCCAUACAUUGAGCCCAUUUGUCAUUUUCCUUAUGAACAAGGUGCCAACAGUAAAAAAAAUGGUCUUAAGGGAAAAACAAACGCAUUCCGGAAGUGAGACUCGGGGAUCAAUUCCAAUUAUAAUGCAUAUGAUUCGCGUGUUAAACAUGUAUCUCAUUUUGACAUGCGCUUAGUCCAUCAUCACUAUAACCGACUUCUCCACCGCAUCAUAGCUCACCAGUCGUGGCGGUGGAGCACCAAUCAUCAGAACCAAAUACACCAUUUCACUCCAUUUUUUAAGCUCUAACCUAAUAUCAUCUCAAUUUCUACCAAUUCUUCAUAAAUUCUCUUAAUCAAACCAAAAUAUCACAUCAACCCUAACCAUAUAAACAAAAAUUAAAUGCUUAAAUGGAGGAAUCAAAGCCUAUGGCGUUAGGGCUUUGAUUCCUCAGCCUCUACCCCACAUGGUGGUAACUAGAAUGAAGCUUAAAGAUGAAGAAAUGGCACAUGCAUGCCAGAGGGAGAGGUCCAAGAUCGGAGCAAAGGUAUUGAUAAUGCAGCUUUCAGGUAUGAAUCUUCCUUGCUUGAACUUCUUCUUUUUCUACACUCCUACUUCUUCUUCCAUCUGUUAUGCCUUGAACCUUCUUCUUCUUAUACGCGUGUUCAAUGAGAGUGAAGGGGUGAAUUAUGAAAGGUGUGGUUGCAUGAAGUGUUUUAGAGGUGUGAUUGAGAGAGUUUAGCUUGAGAGAGAAUAAGAGAUUUCUGGUUUCUGAGCAAAUGAAAAUUUGAUAUGAAAACUGAAGAAUGGAGAUCAAUUUAUAGAUGGAGAUAGUUAACAGAUCAAACUCUGUUAAUUGAUUAAUGUGAAAGUUUGUUAGAAGUUAUUCACUCUAUUAGUUAUUGAGAAUUAUGAUUUUUAGUUAGGGGUUAUUUCAGUUAAUCUUGAUUUUGAAGUUAGUUAGAAAAUCGUUUUCUGUUAGUUAGUUAGAUUUUAAAAUGUUAGUUAGUGUUAGUUAAUCAAUUGGUGACUGGCUAAUGCAGGUGACAUGUUACAUUGAAGUUAUGCAGAAGCUACUGAUAGAUCGAGCAUGACCUACAAAUGCAGUUUUUGCUGCAAGCUGCAUGUUUAGUUUCAAUUUCUUGUAGGAUAUGUUUUGGUUGCAUGCAAGUUGCAAGUGGCUUUGGUGCAGGUUUAGGUUGGUUUCUUGAUGGCCUGCUAGGGUUUAACAUGGUGACCCGCUGGACUGGUUAGAUGACGUUCCAUUACUUUUUUCUCCAUGAGCAUUGUUGUUUGCAUGUCUGAAAUGGUAAGGAAUUAGCUGCAAAUAUUUGGGUUGUUAGUGGAUAUUUUGUGAUGCUAAUUACUAUUAGUACUUAGGUUAGGUUAUGUGGUAAAUGAGAGGUUAAAACAUGGCUGAUACAUGGCCUUGUAUGCAAUGCUUUCGUGUUGUCAAUGGUUGGUACAAUUUUUGCUGAGUAAAUCUCCUGUUGCCAUGUCUAUGCACUGGUGCUUUGGUUAACAAGUUAAGCUGCUUAUGAAUGGUGGUAAAUGUUUGGAUGCAUCAUGUAUAGUUAGUAUGGUAUGGUUAGAGCCGUUAAGGGGUCGGGGCCUAACUUUUAAGGUCCCCAAAAUUUAGGGGGCCCAAAAUUCUAAAAAUAAAUGAGCCUCAAAAUAUAUAGGCCCCCUAGACUAAAGGCCCAUAAAAUUCAAGUAAAGCCUUAAGGCCCC
rnacentral:lncRNA from 1 species